GCGCGCGCGCGGCCAACGGUCCCUGUGCGGGGCGGGAGCGCGCGUCACCAACAUUGUCUUUAAGCAGAGAGCCAGAAGAUAGACACAAAAUGCUGGAGGGUGAGGCAAGAUCUCUGGAGACACAAAAACCUGGAUUAACUGCAUGAUUAUUGAUAUGUUAUUCAUUUGCCUGAUGAAACUGAUGAUGGUAAAGCUGACAUUUACUGCGUGACUCUCAUUGCACUUGAGAAGAUUGCCACUUCAAAAAUGUAAUCAGUUAUCAAACAAGACAAGACAAAAUGGCACCUUCAUUGUGUUUUUUGUAAAUUAGAUAUUUCACAAUGUGAAAAUUUGAGACAGUUCUGUAAAAUGCCGAUAUUAAUUUGGCAGCUGUUGUAUAAAUAACCAUAAACGCAUGAUCUUUUCAUAAAGAUUUAUGUGGACAAUGUGAUAUGUUGACUUUUACUUUAGAUGCUGGAUCCUUUGAAUAAAAAACUAACCACUAGAGGAACUCAGCAGGUCAGGCAGCAUCUUUGGAGGUGAAAUGAACAUUGGGUUUAGGCUACCUAAGUGAAAUAUGAGGCGCUGUUCUUCUAGCUUAUGUGUGGCCCCAUUCCGGCUGGGGAGGACAGACGGGUCGAUAUGAGAAUGGGAAGUAGAAUUAAAUAGGAAACAACUGGGAAAUUCCUUUUGCAUAGAUCUCAUAUGCACGAGUCGCUAUAUUUUGGAGCCAUUUACUAAAUGUCCAAAGGCGGGUCCACAUGCUUGAAUUACUGGAGCAGCUCCUGAUCGAGUUAACCUUCAGGCUGCCGCAGAGCCUCCGCCAACGCCCUUGACUGUCUGAACCAAUGUCCCUCUCUUCACCCGAUCGUCUUUGUGUCCUGGGGGCACUGGUGGCAAUACCAUGGUCCCUCUCCUACCGGCCCACUCCUCAUGUCCGUCGUUGCUAACAUCUCCCUCCUCCUCGAAUCUCCAGCCUUUAGGGCUGAGCUCAGCACCAUCCGAGCUCCGCAGCGGCUGCGGCCCACCGGAUCUUUCUUCGCAGUGACAAGCUAUGCGUGCCGUCGCACAUGGCUGUAUGGGCUCAGCAGCAUCCCCCUACAUGCUGCUGGUCCCUGCAGCCCACCAGGUCCUCAUCCGGCUGUGUGGCAUCCCGGGAGGCUUACUCUAAAUCAAGUUCAGACCUUAAAAAUGAAAGGUUUUGGUCAGAUUUAUUUAAAAAAAGUAAGUUAAUGGGUAGUUUGCUUCCUGGCACAGGUGAUCACAAAUUUAAUUUUUAAGCUGUCACUUCAAUAAACAAAGUUAUUAUUUCUGGA